UGGGGAAUUUUGGACAAUGGGCGCAAGCCUGAUCCAGCCAUGCCGCGUGCGGGAAGAAGGCCUUCGGGUUGUAAACCGCUUUUGUCAGGGAAGAAAUCUUCUGAGUUAAUACCUCGGGAGGAUGACGGUACCUGAAGAAUAAGCACCGGCUAACUACGUGCCAGCAGCCGCGGUAAUACGUAGGGUGCAAGCGUUAAUCGGAAUUACUGGGCGUAAAGCGUGCGCAGGCGGUUUUGUAAGACAGAGGUGGAAUCCCCGGGCUCAACCUGGGAACUGCCUUUGUGACUGCAAGGCUUGAGUGCGGCAGAGGGGGGAUGGAAUUCCGCGUGUAGCAGUGAAAUGCGUAGAUAUGCGGAGGAACACCGAUGGCGAAGGCAAUCCCCUGGGCCUGCACUGACGCUCAUGCACGAAAGCGUGGGGAGCAAACAGGAUUAGAUACCCUGGUAGUCCACGCCCUAAACGAUGUCAACUGGUUGUUGGGAAGGUUCCUUCUCAGUAACGUAGCUAACGCGUGAAGUUGACCGCCUGGGGAGUACGGCCGCAACGGUU
rnacentral:rRNA from 1 species